UCGUGCCCGAGGUGGCAUAGGCCGCGCGGGCUCCUCGGUGCGUCACGCCGGGGCUCGCGAGUCGCUCCGUUUGCGCAACUUCGCAACACACGGAUCAGAAUGUUCACAUACCAACUACCCAGCUGACCCUGCGGGCUCCACGCUGCAAACGCUCUCCUGCCUGGAGUACACAGAGGAGGUGGUGGAUCUCCUGGGUCUGUGGCGACAAGAGGCUGUGCAGGCACAGCUCCAAUCUAGCCAUAGAAAUGUCAACACUGAUGAGCAGAUCACUCAGGGGAGCGGGAGAAGGGCUACCAGAGGGACAUGCAGCAGAGCCACAUGAAAAUCAAGGAGCUGCAGUAGGCGUACCAGAAGGCAAGGAAGGCAAACAGUCACGCUGAUGCAGAGCCGCAGACAUGCAGCUUCUCUAAGGAGCUCUGUCAUCCUCAGCAGCGACACCCCCCCCAUCACCACAAGGGCCCUGUGGAUACUUCAGGGGAGCUGGAGGCACAGGCCACCAAAGUGAACCCUGAGGAUGAGGUGUUGGAAGAGGAGGAGGCAAGCUUGAUGCAGGGGUCGAACCUCUGUUGCAAAUGCGGUCUUGAGGGUCUCUCCAUCCACACCCGUGGAGUGACUUAGCCAGGUAAGGAGGAGUCUGAAGAGGACAAGGGAAGACAUGUUCCAGGAGAUCCUGCAAGCCUCUGGUGCUUCGGAUACCAAACAGAGGGCCUGGAGGAUUACACUUGAGGACAGAAUGGACAGGGAUAGUGAGGACAGGAAAAACGGACAGCAAGAGAGGAUAGUACUUCUCAGGGAGCAAACAGACAUGCUCUGGUCUCUGACUGACCUUCAAGCUCAAUAGGUCCAUGCUCGCCUCCCCCUGCAGCCAAUAGAGAACUGCAUUUUGGCACCUCUCUACACGCCCUCCCACCCAAUCCACAUGGCAUCUGGGGCCUGUGCAAUACCCCUACUACUCCACUUGGGGGAGAGUGUUUGUGAAAUUGAAUUGACUGUUCUUUCCCCUUCAAAGGUUCUUGUCCCUGUAUUUAUAAAGUUUUGUUCUGCUUUAACUAUGUCUAUUUGCAUGGGUUCAGAAUAAAAGUCUAUUUAUGGAAACUUAAUUCAUCUUUAUUAGUUCACAAGAUAUGGUGGCUGGGGUUGGCAUCAUUUCACAGAUAAUAGCAAUAGGUACAUUUGCAGUAUUAUAUUACCACAUACAGAGCUCUCAUUACAAGGUGCAUACUGGGGUACAAAGAAAAAAAUGCCAGGUGCAGCACACUAAAGCAACACACAUUACUGUGGCUCAUUGUUAUCAUGGUCCUUCAAAGUCUCCCACCCAGGGGUAGGCUGGAUCUCCCAAGAUCACUACUGGCAUUUCAACAUCCCUUUUGGUAAUCCUCUGGUCUGGAAAAGUCCCUGCAUUUGUCAUGUGCCUUCCCUGACCUGUUCAUGUUGAUGUAGGUGAAAUGACCCUGGUAAUCCACCAGCACUUGCAAUGCCAUAGAAAAGUAGCCCUUCUCUUGAUGUACUCCGUGGCAAGGUGGUGUGGUGCCAAAAUAGGGAUAUGCGUGCCAUCUGUCACUCCACCGCAGGUAGGGAACCCUAUUGCUGCAAAACCAUCCACUAUUUCUCAGACAUUGCCCAGAGUCACAGUCCUUUUUAGCAGGACACAAGUAAUGGCCCUGCACACUUGCAUCACCGCAAUCCCCACAAUGGAUUUACUAAUUCCUUCCUAAAGAAGCUGACCAAAUGCCUCACAAAGGUUACUUAGAAAUCAAGCAAGUAUA